rnacentral:rRNA from 1 species
UACGUAGGGAGCAAGCGUUGUCCGGAAUCAUUGGGCGUAAAGCGCGCGUAGGCGGCCCUGUAAGUCCGUUGUGAAAGUCAAAGGCCUCAACCUUUGAAAGCCGAUGGAUACUGCAGGGCUAGAGUCCGGAAGAGGCGAGUGGAAUUCCUGGUGUAGCGGUGGAAUGCGCAGAUAUCAGGAGGAACACCAAUAGCGAAGGCAGCUCGCUGGGACGGUACUGACGCUAAGGCGCGAAAGCGUGGGGAGCGAACAGG